rnacentral:misc_RNA from 1 species
AAAGUCGUAACAAGGUAACCGUAGGUGAACCUGCGGUUGGAUCAUUAAUAAAAUUAAAUAGAAGAACUCCUAACAAGAGAUCUAUCUAUCACAUCUUGUGAAUUAUAUAUGUCUCUGGUGUGUUAAUUUAGUUUUUUUGUUAAGAAAAAACUCUUAUUUUGCACACCAGUAUAACUUCUAUAAACUUUGUUUAAACUAUAAGCCUAAAAAGAAAUUCAUAUAAAAAAGUAAAAACAACUUUUGACAACGGAUCUCUAGGCUCUC